rnacentral:rRNA from 1 species
GAAUUCGCCCUUAGAGUUUGAUCCUGGCUCAGGACGAACGCUGGCGGCGCGCCUAACACAUGCAAGUCGAACGAGCGAGAGAGAGCUUGCUUUCUCGAGCGAGUGGCGAACGGGUGAGUAACGCGUGAGGAACCUGCCUCAAAGAGGGGGACAACAGUUGGAAACGACUGCUAAUACCGCAUAAGCCCACGGCUCGGCAUCGAGCAGAGGGAAAAGGAGCAAUCCGCUUUGAGAUGGCCUCGCGUCCGAUUAGCUAGUUGGUGAGGUAACGGCCCACCAAGGCGACGAUCGGUAGCCGGACUGAGAGGUUGAACGGCCACAUUGGGACUGAGACACGGCCCAGACUCCUACGGGAGGCAGCAGUGGGGAAUAUUGCACAAUGGGGGAAACCCUGAUGCAGCGACGCCGCGUGGAGGAAGAAGGUCUUCGGAUUGUAAACUCCUGUUGUUGAGGAAGAUAAUGACGGUACUCAACAAGGAAGUGACGGCUAACUACGUGCCAGCAGCCGCGGUAAAACGUAGGUCACAAGCGUUGUCCGGAAUUACUGGGUGUAAAGGGAGCGCAGGCGGGAAGACAAGUUGGAAGUGAAAUCCAUGGGCUCAACCCAUGAACUGCUUUCAAAACUGUUUUUCUUGAGUAGUGCAGAGGUAGGCGGAAUUCCCGGUGUAGCGGUGGAAUGCGUAGAUAUCGGGAGGAACACCAGUGGCGAAGGCGGCCUACUGGGCACCAACUGACGCUGAGGCUCGAAAGUGUGGGUAGCAAACAGGAUUAGAUACCCUGGUAGUCCACGCUGUAAACGAUG